GUCGUAACAAGGUUUCCGUAGGUGAACCUGCGGAAGGAUCAUUACUUAGAGUUUGUGGACUUCGGUCUGCUACCUCUUACCCAUGUCUUUUGAGUACCUUCGUUUCCUCGGCGGGUCCGCCCGCCGGUUGGACAACAUUCAAACCCUUUGCAGUUGCAAUCAGCGUCUGAAAAAACUUAAUAGUUACAACUUUCAACAACGGAUCUCUUGGUUCUGGCAUCGAUGAAGAACGCAGCGAAAUGCGAUAAGUAGUGUGAAUUGCAGAAUUCAGUGAAUCAUCGAAUCUUUGAACGCACAUUGCGCCCCUUGGUAUUCCAUGGGGCAUGCCUGUUCGAGCGUCAUUUGUACCUUCAAGCUCUGCUUGGUGUUGGGUGUUUUGUCUCGCCUCCGCGCGCAGACUCGCCUUAAAACAAUUGGCAGCCGGCGUAUUGAUUUCGGAGCGCAGUACAUCUCGCGCUUUGCACUCAUAACGACGACGUCCAAAAGUACAUUUUUACACUCUUGACCUCGGAUCAGGUAGGGAUACCCGCUGAACUUAAGCAUAUCA
rnacentral:rRNA from 1 species